rnacentral:rRNA from 1 species
UACGAAGGGGGCUAGUGUUGUUCGGAAUUACUGGGCGUAAAGCGCGCGCAGGCGGUCUUCCAAGUCAGUGGUGAAAGCCCGGAGCUCAACUCCGGAACUGCCAUUGAAACUGUAAGACUUGAGGAUGAGAGAGGUGAGUGGAAUUCCCAGUGUAGAGGUGAAAUUCGUAGAUAUUGGGAAGAACACCGGUGGCGAAGGCGGCUCACUGGCUCAUUACUGACGCUCAGGCGCGACAGCGUGGGGAUCAAACAGG